UACGUAGGGCGCAAGCGUUGUCCGGAAUUAUUGGGCGUAAAGAGCUCGUAGGCGGUUUGUCGCGUCUGCUGUGAAAACUCGGGGCUUAACUCCGGGCCUGCAGUGGGUACGGGCAGACUAGAGUGCGGUAGGGGAGACUGGAAUUCCUGGUGUAGCGGUGAAAUGCGCAGAUAUCAGGAGGAACACCGGUGGCGAAGACGGGUCUCUGGGCCGUAACUGACGCUGAGGAGCGAAAGCGUGGAGAGCGAACAGG
rnacentral:rRNA from 1 species